UACGACUACAUAUCAGGCAUAUCAAUAAGCGGAGGAAAAGAAACUAACUAAGGAUUCCCUCAGUAACGGCGAGUGAAGCGGGAAGAGCUCAAAUUUGAAAUCUUCAAGGUUUUACCUUGACGAAUUGUAGUUUAAAGAAGUGUUUUCUGUUGGUAGUUUUGGUAAAAGUUCUUUGGAAUAGGACAUCACAGAGGGUGAGAAUCCCGUAUUUGACCAUUACUUCCAGCUGUUGUGAUACACUUUCAAAGAGUCGGAUUGUUUGGGAAUGCAGUCCAAAAUGGGUGGUAAAUUUCAUCUAAAGCUAAAUAUUGGCGAGAGACCGAUAGCGAACAAGUACCGUGAGGGAAAGAUGAAAAGAACUUUGAAAAGAGAGUUAAACAGUACGUGAAAUUGUCAAAGGGGAAGCGUUUGACACCAGUGUUGUUUUCAUCGAAAAUCAAUUAAAAAGUAUGGGAUUUUGUAUUGUUAAGACCUUAUCAGCUUACGGUACUUUUUUCUUAUUCUUUUUAAUGCACUUUUCGUUUAACAAGUCAACAUCAAUUUCUUUUGUUGUAAAAGAGUCAUUGGAAGGUGGCUUUCACUUCGGUGAAAGUGUUUAUAGCCUUUGGCUUCUGCAAUCGGAGAGAUUGAGGUCUGCAGCGUAGAUCCUUCGGGGUUAGAUACGUAGAUGCUAAGUUAUAGUUUUUCAUAGACAACUUGUUGACUAUGACUUAAUCAUGUAGCUUACUCGUUUGCGCUAUUUUACCUACGCUUAGGAUGUUGAAUCUGUGCGAGACUAC
rnacentral:rRNA from 1 species